UUCCACGUAAUCAUCCUCUUCCUCCCUCCAAGACUUUCCAGGCAAUCGGCUCCUUCCUUCCAGGAGAGAAGGAUAGAGUUGGGGCUACAGAGAUUUUCCAUGGAAAAGGGUGGACGAGCACACCAAGGAUGGUCCUGGGGACGGGUGAGGAGCAGCACCAGCGGGACAGAGCGCUGUGGAAGGACUUUCCUUGGCGGAGGAACGAGCAGCUCGUGCCUGGAGUCUCCCACCCCGAGCCCAAAGGACUCAAGGAGCUCGUUUGACAACAGGCAGGAGCCUUUGAUUCCCCUCAUCCCUCCGGGAAGAUCAAACGGCAGGCGGUGCGUGGUGAGAGCAGCAUAUGCCACGGCAGAUGGCACCGACGCAAUUCCAGGGGAGUGAAAUCACUCAUCUGCUCUCCCCUGCCUUUGGAGAGACCGGGAAUGCUGCGGGAGAGAAAGGGGAGAUGGAGCAACCACGGAAAAUUAGCCUGACAGCCCCUGAUGUUGCUCUGUAACAUCUGCAACCCCACUCCCAGCAGCCAGAACUGGUGCCUCUUCUCCUGGUCAACCCCACUGCUGUUGAAGAGACACCCCAAUUUCUCUUCCUUGUAGGAUUCAAAAAUAUAAUAUCUGCAGAGAGGGAACUGAGCAGUCUCUGCAAAAAGCCAUGAGCUACGAAAGCUGGGGAAAAACCCUUUUCACUGCCCUCAUCUCUGUGGACUCUUCCUGCCUUCUCCAGCAGAAUGGAAGAGACUCCUUGCAUGAUGUUAUCACCUGUCCUGCCUGAGAAUCCACAUCCUAAUCUCAUCAGAGCUCUGCAUAAAAGCCAUGGUGUUCCCCCUUUUUCAUAUGUCUAUCCAAUACCUAAUCCCCCCUAUAAAUCCCCCAAGACAAAAUAAGGUUUUUCCCAUGAGGUAAUUCCUAAGACCCCAAAAAUGUGUGAACCUGGGUUUUCCUCUUACCUCAUCCUUGUGAAACCCUCCAGUUUUAAUACCAUGAAUAUGUAAAUCCCCUGUUAAAUAUGUAAACCCUGAAGCCUUUAAAUAGGAACUUGUGAGUCCAAAUAAACUCUUCCAGUU